UGGGGAAUAUUGCACAAUGGGCGCAAGCCUGAUGCAGCCAUGCCGCGUGUAUGAAGAAGGCCUUCGGGUUGUAAAGUACUUUCAGCGGGGAGGAAGGGAGUAAAGUUAAUACCUUUGCUCAUUGACGUUACCCGCGGAAGAAGCACCGGCUAACUCCGUGCCAGCCGCCGCGGUAAUACGGAGGGUGCAAGCGUUAAUCGGAAUUACUGGGCGUAAAGCGCACGCAGGCGGUUUGUUAAGUCAGAUGUGAAAUCCCCGGGCUCAACCUGGGAACUGCAUCUGAUACUGGCAAGCUUGAGUCUCGUAGAGGGGGGUAGAAUUCCAGGUGUAGCGGUGAAAUGCGUAGAGAUCUGGAGGAAUACCGGUGGCGAAGGCGGCCCCCUGGACGAAGACUGACGCUCAGGUGCGAAAGCGUGGUGAGCAAACA
rnacentral:rRNA from 1 species